rnacentral:rRNA from 1 species
UACGUAGGUGGCAAGCGUUAUCCGGAUUUAUUGGGCGUAAAGGGAACGCAGGCGGUCUUUUAAGUCUGAUGUGAAAGCCUUCGGCUUAACCGGAGUAGUGCAUUGGAAACUGGGAGACUUGAGUGCAGAAGAGGAGAGUGGAACUCCAUGUGUAGCGGUGAAAUGCGUAGAUAUGUGGAAGAACACCAGUGGCGAAAGCGGCUCUCUGGUCUGUAACUGACGCUGAGGUUCGAAAGCGUGGGUAGCAAACAGG